UACGAGGGGAGCAAGCGUUGUUCGGAUUUACUGGGCGUAAAGGGCGCGUAGGCGGUCGUGACAAGUCACUUGUGAAAUCUCCGGGCUUAACUCGGAACGGUCAAGUGAUACUGUCGGACUAGAGUACAGAAGGGGCAACUGGAAUUCUCGGUGUAGCGGUGAAAUGCGUAGAUAUCGAGAGGAACACCUGCGGCGAAGGCGAGUCCCUGGACAACACCUGACACUGAGGCACGAAAGCCGGGGGAGCAAACAGG
rnacentral:rRNA from 1 species